rnacentral:lncRNA from 1 species
CCCCCGGAUUCCUUUGGUGCUGGGUUUGACUUCCCUGGGGCGGACAUCGGAGCCGGUGGGGAUCUCGGCGUCGGCGCCGGUCUUGACGUUGGCCCCGGUGUUGGAUCUGGAGUUGAUCUCAUGCUGGGAGCCGAGCUUGGAGCCGGUGGUGGAGCCAGCGUUGGUCUUGGCCUUGGGGUCGGAGUUGGAGCUGAUGUUGGACACGGAGCCAACGCCACAGCCAAUGUUGGACCCGGCGUUGGAGCCGGUGUUGGACACGGACUCAGAACAAAUGUGGGAUCUGGGCUCGGAGCCGCCAUGGAACACGGCGCCGCGGCCAACGUUGACCCUUCUCUUGGAUCCGGCGUGGGACACGGCCUUGGGAUCGGCCUUGGGGCCGGUGCUGAGCCCGGCGUUGGGAUGGACGUUGGCCGUGGUCUUGAAGACGGUGUCGGCCACGGCCUUGGUGCUGACAUCAGCGCCGGCAUCAGAGUCGACGUCGGCCUUGGCGUGGCGGCAGGCGGCAGCCCCGGCGUUGGCCCCUCUCUUGGGGCUGAUAUUGCAGCAGCCCUCGGGCCCGGUGCUGCGGAUGGCAUGGCAGCUGGCCUCCAAACCAACGCCGGGGCAGACGCUGCCCACGGGCUUGGAGCCGGCGUGGCUCUCGACAUCGGUGCCAACAUCGGAUCCGGGCUCGGCAGUGGCGUCAGAGCCAGUGUUGGGCUCGGCAUUGGGGCCGUUGGUUCUGCUCUUCCAACCGACCUCAGCGCCGGCGUUGGACUCACUGUGGGUGCCAGCGUUGGAACCAGCGUCGGACUCAGCCUUGGAGCCAACAUCGGAACCAACGCCGCCUCUACUCUUGGAUCUACGGUUGGACUCGGCCUUGGAGCUGCUCUCGGAACCAAUGUCAGCUCUGCUCUCGGAUCUGGUGUCGGACCUGGCGUCGGCCUUGCCAUUGGAGCCGGUGUCGGUGCCAGCGUCGGCUCUACUCUUGGAUCCGGCGUUGGCCUUGCUGUUGGAGCCGGCGUCGGUGCCAGCAUUGGCUCUACACAUGGAUCUGGACUUGGCAUCGGAGCCGGUGUCGGUGCCAAUGUUGGCUCUACUCUUGGAUCUGGACUUGCUGUUGGAGCUGGCGCCGGUGCCAACGUUGGCUCUACUCUUGGAUCUGGACUUGCCAUGGGAUCCGGUGUUGGUGCCAGUGCCGGUUCUACUCUUGGAUCCGGUGUUGGACUUGCCAUGGGAUCCGGCGUUGGUGCCAAUGUCGGCUCUACUCUUGGAUCUGGACUUGCUGUUGGAGCUGGUGUUGGUGCCAACGUUGGUUCCACUCUUGGAUCCGUUGCUGGACUUGCCAUGGGAGCCGGCGUCAGUGCCAACGUUGGCUCUUCCCUUGGAUCUGGUGUUGGACUCGCUGUUGGAGCCGGCAUCGGUGCCAACGUUGAUUCUACUCUUGGAUCUGGUGCUGGACUUGCCAUGGGAGCCGGCGUUGCUGCCAAUGUAGGCUCCACCCUUGGAUCUGGUGCUGGACUUGCCAUGGGAGCCGGCGUUGCUGCCAACGUUGGUUCUACGCUUGGCUCUGAGGUCGAUGUUGCCAUUGGACUCGGCGCUGCAGCCAACGGCGGUGCUCCCCUCCCAUCAGCGGUCGGUGCCAGUGCCAGAGCUGCUGUUGGAGCCAACCUCAGCACCGGUGUUGGCUCCGCUCUUGGACCCGGUGUCGGAUUGGGUCUUGGAGCCAACGUUGGAGCCAACAGCUCUGCACCAGGACCGGACAUCGGCGCCGGCGUCGGGCUCGCCGUCGGUGCUGGAGUUGGAGCCGGCGGUGCUGCCGGCAUCGGAUCCGCCCUCGGCUUCGCCGUCGGAACCAACGUUGGACUCAGAACCGACGUCAGCACCGGCGUUGGACUCGGCCUCGGAGCCAACGCUGACUCUGCCCUUCCACCCGCCAUCAGCACCGGCGUCGGAGCGAACAUCGUGGCCAGUGCCGGAUCCGGCGUCGGGCUGGGCGCCAUCAGACCCAACGCCGUGGGGCCCGCCGUGGGGCUGGCCUUGGGGGCCAACAUCGGCAUGGGUUUGGCUGUGGGCACCCGUUUGGCCCCCGACGUGCCGGGGGGGGCGGCAACCGAAACCUGGACGCCUCCCUACACCCCCCGGCAAGCACCGCCCUUCGCCCUAUGGGGUGGGGAGGAUGC